UACAGAGGGUGCGAGCGUUGUUCGGAAUUAUUGGGCGUAAAGGGCGCGUAGGCGGUGCCACAAGUCACUUGUGAAAUCCCCGGGCUUAACUCGGGGCCUGCAGGCGAAACUGUGGUGCUGGAGUAUGGGAGAGGUGCGUGGAAUUCCCGGUGUAGCGGUGAAAUGCGUAGAUAUCGGAAGGAACACCAGUGGCGAAAGCGGCUUCCUGGUCCAGCACCGACGUUCAGGCACGAAAGCGUGGGGAGCAAACAGG
rnacentral:rRNA from 1 species